rnacentral:rRNA from 1 species
GGGGGAUUAGUGGCGAACGGGUGAGUACACGUGAGUAACCUGCCCUUAACUCUGGGAUAAGCCUGGGAAACUGGGUCUAAUACCGGAUAUGACUCCUCAUCGCAUGGUGGGGGGUGGAAAGCUUUAUUGUGGUUUUGGAUGGACUCGCGGCCUAUCAGCUUGUUGGUGAGGUAAUGGCUCACCAAGGCGACGACGGGUAGCCGGCCUGAGAGGGUGACCGGCCACACUGGGACUGAGACACGGCCCAGACUCCUACGGGAGGCAGCAGUGGGGAAUAUUGCACAAUGGGCGAAAGCCUGAUGCAGCGACGCCGCGUGAGGGAUGACGGCCUUCGGGUUGUAAACCUCUUUCAGUAGGGAAGAAGCGAAAGUGACGGUACCUGCAGAAGAAGCGCCGGCUAACUACGUGCCAGCAGCCGCGGUAAUACGUAGGGCGCAAGCGUUAUCCGGAAUUAUUGGGCGUAAAGAGCUCGUAGGCGGUUUGUCGCGUCUGCCGUGAAAGUCCGGGGCUCAACUCCGGAUCUGCGGUGGGUACGGGCAGACUAGAGUGAUGUAGGGGAGACUGGAAUUCCUGGUGUAGCGGUGAAAUGCGCAGAUAUCAGGAGGAACACCGAUGGCGAAGGCAGGUCUCUGGGCAUUAACUGACGCUGAGGAGCGAAAGCAUGGGGAGCGAACAGGAUUAGAUACCCUGGUAGUCCAUGCCGUAAACGUUGGGCACUAGGUGUGGGGGACAUUCCACGUUUUCCGCGCCGUAGCUAACGCAUUAAGUGCCCCGCCUGGGGAGUACGGCCGCAAGGCUAAAACUCAAAGGAAUUGACGGGGGCCCGCACAAGCGGCGGAGCAUGCGGAUUAAUUCGAUGCAACGCGAAGAACCUUACCAAGGCUUGACAUGAACCGGAAAUACCUGGAAACAGGUGCCCCGCUUGCGGUCGGUUUACAGGUGGUGCAUGGUUGUCGUCAGCUCGUGUCGUGAGAUGUUGGGUUAAGUCCCGCAACGAGCGCAACCCUCGUUCUAUGUUGCCAGCGCGUUAUGGCGGGGACUCAUAGGAGACUGCCGGGGUCAACUCGGAGGAAGGUGGGGACGACGUCAAAUCAUCAUGCCCCUUAUGUCUUGGGCUUCACGCAUGCUACAAUGGCCGGUACAAAGGGUUGCGAUACUGUGAGGUGGAGCUAAUCCCAAAAAGCCGGUCUCAGUUCGGAUUGGGGUCUGCAACUCGACCCCAUGAAGUCGGAGUCGCUAGUAAUCGCAGAUCAGCAACGCUGCGGUGAAUACGUUCCCGGGCCUUGUACACACCGCCCGUCAAGUCACGAAAGUUGGUAACACCCGAAGCCGGUGGCC